rnacentral:rRNA from 1 species
CAUGUAGGCGGUCAAUCAAGUCAGAUGUGAAAGUCCUGGGCUUAACCCAGGAAGUGCAUCUGAAACUGUUUGGCUAGAGUACAGGAGAGGAAGGUGGAAUUCCUGGUGUAGAGGUGAAAUUCGUAGAUAUCGGGAAGAACACCGGUGGCGAAGGCGGCCUUCUGGCCUGAUACUGACGCUGAGAUGCGAAAGCGUGGGGAGCAAACAGGAUUAGAUACCCUGGUAGUCC